rnacentral:rRNA from 1 species
AGCGAACGCUGGCGGCAGGCCUAACACAUGCCAGUCGAACGAACUCUUCGGAGUUAGUGGCGGACGGGUGAGUAACACGUGGGAACGUGCCUUUAGGUUCGGAAUAACUCAGGGAAACUUGAGCUAAUACCGGAUGUGCCCUUCGGGGGAAAGAUUUAUCGCCUUUAGAGCGGCCCGCGUCUGAUUAGCUAGUUGGUGAGGUAAAGGCUCACCAAGGCGACGAUCAGUAGCUGGUCUGAGAGGAUGAUCAGCCACAUUGGGACUGAGACACGGCCCAAACUCCUACGGGAGGCAGCAGUGGGGAAUCUUGCGCAAUGGGCGAAAGCCUGACGCAGCCAUGACGCGUGAAUGAUGAAGGUCUUAGGAUUGUAAAAUUCUUUCACCGGGGACGAUAAUGACGGUACCCGGAGAAGAAGCCCCGGCUAACUUCGUG